GAGACGUCGCUGCCGUGAUCGU
rnacentral:snRNA from 1 species